rnacentral:lncRNA from 1 species
UUUUACCUUAAUUUAUUAUAUUGUUGUUGUUUUUUUGUUGAUUUAAUGUCAUAGUUGUAUUGUAGAAAUAACAAGAAGUGUUUUGGUAUAAAUUUUAUGAUUUUUGGUGAAGAUUUGAGUGAUUUAAAAAAAAGAAUACCCGACUGUAAAUUGCUCUUUUUACCACUUUCUGUGUGUUUUUGUGAAAAACUAAAACCAAAAAUGGAUUCUAUACGAAAAAUCGAGUGGGAAGGUAUAUUUUGGUGAAUUUUUGUGAUCAAAGAGGUCACUGGUGGCUAGAAGCUUGGUUUCGAUUGAGAAGAAGAAGAAAGAAAAAGAAAAGAAAGAAAAAAAGAGAAAGAAAAUAAAAGGCUGGGCUUUUGUUUAUUUUUAGUUGGGUUUAAGAGUGGAUUGGUUUUAUUUUUGACCUUGUAUUUUCAUUUGGCCUUCUGGACUUACUAAAGGCGGGUUGAUUCUAUUUUAGCUUGGGCUCGUGACUGGGUUUCGG